rnacentral:misc_RNA from 1 species
UCCGGUUUGUCACCGGCAGUCUCCCUAGAGUCCCCACCAUUACGUGCUGGCAACUAAGGACAAGGGUUGCGCUCGUUACGGGACUUAACCCAACAUCUCACGGCACGAGCUGACGACAGCCAUGCAGCACCUGUGCGGGCCCCCGAAGGGGCACCGUGUUUCCACGGCGUCACCCCGCAUGUCAAGCCUUGGUAAGGUUCUUCGCGUUGCGUCGAAUUAAGCCACAUGCUCCGCUGCUUGUGCGGGCCCCCGUCAAUUCCUUUGAGUUUUAGCCUUGCGGCCGUACUCCCCAGGCGGGGCACUUAAUGCGUUAGCUACGGCACGGAUUCCGUGGAAGGAACCCACACCUAGCGCCCACCGUUUACGGCGUGGACUAC